AUGGCAGCCUGUGAGACUAAAAUCCUCUAUUUCUGUACAGAACAGGUGUAGCACAGGCAGUGUCAGCUUCCCCACACUGGCUUCUACUAAUCUGCCUCAUCCAUGGUCUCAAGUGAGAGAACAGUUUACCCUCCAUAACCAUUCAGUACUCAGCCUCU
rnacentral:sRNA from 1 species